AAAGGACACCAACAGGUGGGAGGCCGCUUUGGAGGGGGGCGCUCCUGGCGGGAUAGAAAAGGCCGAUCUGCAAGGCCUGUUGUGGGCACAAUCCACCGGGCCACAUACGGAGGAGGAUGGUCGACCGCAGGAUAGCUGAGGCGAAAGGGAGGAUGAAGUUCUCAGGGAGCUGAGGGGGAGUUUUGAGAUGAGUUUGGGCUUUUAAUGGGUGGGGAAGUGGGGGCAGCUUCAGGGACGAGGAGUAAGGCCAGUGUGAAGGCUGUUUUGUCAUUUCUACAAGGUUUUCUUUUUUUGUUAGGUUUACAUAAGAAGGGUUAAUAUUUAGCCUUUAGGGCGACAAGCUUCUUCUGUCGAGGCAAAGAUCUUCCAGAUUCAGAUGCUGCAGCACCAUGUGAGCGAGAUCAGGCGUCAGCCCAGCCGUUAAAUAUCUUCUGUUAAGUUUUUUUUUACGAUAGACACAGAGCCCCGACACCUCCGUCAGGUGAGGGUGGGAGGCCGAGGUGCGACACAGGAAAGCAACCGGGAAAUUCUCCCCCACGAGGCAUUUCUCGUGGCCAUUUGGUUUCGGAGCUAGAAGGCGCAGGGAGUGUGUAGAUCUGUCAAGGAGGUCACCAGUAGACAGUGUAGGAGACGCCGGCUGAGCCCGAGCGUGGCCUGAAGCUCGACUCCAGCUGCUCGCCACAAGAGAAAACUGCAGAGGUGGCGCAGCGGGGAUUCGUUCAAGCUGCUUGGGUUAAAAUGACUUGGCAUGGCUUAGGAAAGAGCACAGAUUGUGACCUUUGUGCGCUGGAAGUCAGAAUUCGCCUCGCCCUCCGCAGUUAUUUGAGUUCAGCAUCACCACAUUGGCACGACCCAUCAAAGAGCUGCACGGGGCGGGCUAUUACACAGCCUUGAUCGUCUGUUUUCUGGUAAGACCGAAGAGGACACCAUGGCCCAAAGAAGUCCAACUUCUAUAUCCUCUCUCAUUUCCUACUUUUCUCAUGUCCUCUGUACCCUGUAACCUUCGCUCCCUUCUCCCCCCCUCCUCCACCUCCUCCACCUCGUCCUCCUCCACCCCCCCACCUCUCUCUCGCUCUGGCUCUUGCAGCUGAAGCAACACGCCUUGCUGUGGCUGGUCAAACGGAACCAAGUCAGGUGUUUCUGUGAGGUUUGGUCCCCUUCAACCAGCUACUGCGUCGUGAAUUCAGUCAGCCAGCAGACACCGGCGUGGAAAUCAAAGGCACAGCGUACUUUUAAGAGGCGGUAGUCUGUUUCGAAUGAUAGAUCGUUUCUAUGCUUUGAGUGUCUCGCUGUUGGUUGUUUUUCCUGUAUGGCGAUGGAUGUUAAUAAAAGACUGAU